GCCUACGGGGGGCAGCAGUAGGGAAUUUUCGUCAAUGGGCGCAAGCCUGAACGAGCAAUGCCGCGUGAACGAGGAAGGUCUUCGGAUCGUAAAGUUCUGUUGAAGGGGAAAAAGAGCGGAGAGAGGAAAUGGUCUCCGGUUGAUAUUACCCUUCGAGGAAGUCACGGCUAACUACGUGCCAGCAGCCGCGGUAAUACGUAGGUGGCGAGCGUUAUCCGGAAUGAUUGGGCGUAAAGGGUGCGUAGGCGGCCUGCUAAGUCUGGAGUGAAAGGUACCGGCUCAACCGGUACAGGCUCGGGAAACUG
rnacentral:rRNA from 1 species